rnacentral:tRNA from 1 species
AAAAAAUUAGUUAAACUUAUAACAUUAGUAUGUCAAACUAAAAUUAUUAAAUUUUUAAUAUUUUUUA